CGGGGAUUGGCUCAGUUGGUAGAGCGCCGCGUUUGGGACGCGGAGGUCGCCAGUUCGAAUCUGGCAUCCCCGA
rfam:Candidatus Woesebacteria bacterium RBG_13_36_22 RBG_13_scaffold_23816, whole genome shotgun sequence.